rnacentral:lncRNA from 1 species
AUAGACUUAUCCGAGGGUUCCAUUGUUAUCCUUUCUUAUAUGGAGGCGGCACAAUAAGUUGUCACGCCAGAAUCUAAUAGUUUAUUCAACUCCCAGACCCUUAGAUUGCUAGGCCACGAUUUGACAAGCGAUUAAGAUGAGAGGUUCGCCCACUAAUCUAAAGAUCAAGAUUGUUAGUCGUAGAUAUCAGUAGCGAGUCUUACCUGCGGAUCAGAUUUAUUAAUCAUGGGUGGCAGUAACAGAUCAUGCCCACAUUCUACAAGUUUUUGAGAGAUUCCAAGUAUUAUGCAUAUAGCCAAAUAGGUUGAUGACCCAG